rnacentral:lncRNA from 1 species
UCAGAUCCAACCAGAGUUCCUGUCCUAAAACACAUUGUUCAUCAUUACAAAUACGAGCCAAAAGAACAGAGAGUUUAAUACUCAAAAAGACUGAAACCAACCAGGGACUCUAUUACAGACACAUGAACCUCUUCAUAUUUCAUCCAUUACUAUCCAAAUUUUUUAGUACAUGAAAACAUAGAGAUGAUUACACCAACAAACUCUAGAGAACCUGUCCGAGAUUUCUACAAUUCCAAUCUAAUAAUGAUUCCCGACAAAAGGAAUCGAACACAAAUCAGUUCUGUCUAUAGGCAAUGUAAUUAGCCAAAGCCAACAAAGGAGCAACCUUAUCAGAAUCAAACCCUAAAAGCUGAUCACGAGCCUCUCUAUUCAAUUUCUCAGCAAACUCUCUCGAUUUCUCCAAACCCAUAAUCUUAGGAUACGUCAACUUAUCAGCAAUCAAAUCUUUCCCAGCAGUUUUCCCUAACUCUUUCGACGAUUUCGUCACAUCCAAGAUAUCAUCAACCACCUGAAACAACAAACCAAUACAUCUCGCAAACUUUCUUAACCUCUCAAUCUCAUCAUCACUUCCUCCACCAACAAUAGCUCCCAAAACAGCAGAAGCUUCAAGCAACGCCGCCGUUUUAUGCAAAUGGAUAAACUCCAAAUGCUCUAAACCGACGUCGUUUAAAUCUAACCCUUCACUACUAAUAUCCACGACUUGACCCGCCACUAACCCUUCUGUUCCUAUCGCUUUAGCCAAUUCUCCAACGGCUCGAACCACUCUCACCGGAGAAACAACAUCAGAACUCGUCGCCGAAGCUAAAUGCUCGAAAGCGAAAGAGAGAAGCGCGUCUCCGGCUAAAACAGCGACGUCUUCACCAAACACUUUGUGGUUGGUCGGUUUUCCACGGCGGAGAUCGUCGUUAUCCAUACAAGGGAGAUCGUCGUGGAUCAACGACAUGGUGUGAAUCAUCUCGACGGCGCAAGCUGCUGGCAUAGCGGUUGAUUCUUCACCUCCGACGAGUUCACAAGCAGCGAUGCAGAGAACUGGUCUAACUCUUUUGCCACCGGCGAGAAGAGAGUAACGCAUCGCUUCGUGGAUCUUGAGUGGCUCACGGAGAGGAACAGCUGAAUCUAAAGCUUUGUUGACUAAUUCGGCUUUGGUGAUGAUGUACGACAUGAAAUCGAAAGAGGAUGGUUCAGAUUGGCGUAGAUUGUCUUCUUUUGUAACAACGGAAGAAGAAACGAUUGAAGAAGAUGAUGAAACGGUGCGUUUUGAUCGAAAGGAGAUGGGUUUAGUAAGAGUUAUAGGACAAGAUCUGGAUCUGGAUUUGGUAAGGAUUGAAGAUGGAUGAUGAUGAUUGUGGUGGUGAACAACAAUCCAUGAACCUAGAGUCACUGAAGCCAUGGCGAUUUCUGAAAUCUGAAAUUUUAGAUUUGAGAAUUUUUUAUAUUAGUAUUUAUUUUUUUUUGUUUUUUUUGGAAAGUGGAGUCAAAAUUAUGAAUGGAGAAUUGGAUUGGCCAUUAGUGAGAAGCUAGGAAGUAACAGAUAGGGUUGUGUUACGGAAUGGGCCUUGUUAGUGGUGGAGAUGACGAUCUUCACUUUUAUUGAAAAGCAUCUUUUUUCUUUUUUCACUGUUUUUGUUUUAUUGUUUUUAAGUCCAUGGA